rnacentral:rRNA from 1 species
AUUGAACGCUGGCGGCAGGCCUAACACAUGCAAGUCGAACGGUAACAGGAAGCAGCUUGCUGCUUUGCUGACGAGUGGCGGAUGGGUGAGUAAUGUCUGGGAAACUGCCUGAUGGAGGGGGAUAACUACUGGAAACGGUAGCUAAUACCGCAUAACGUCGCAAGACCAAAGAGGGGGACCUUCGGGCCUCUUGCCAUCGGAUGUGCCCAGAUGGUAUUAGCUAGUAGGUGGGGUAACGGCUCACCUAGGCGACGAUCCCUAGCUGGUCUGAGAGGGUGACCAGCCACCUUGGAACUGAGCAACGUCCCAGACUCCGACGAGAGGCACCCGGCUGAAAUAUUGGCCAAUGGGCGCAAGCCCGAUGUAGCCAUGCCGCGUGUAUGACGAAGGCCUUCGGGUUGGAAAGUACUUUCAGCGGGGAGGAAGGGAGUAAAGUUAAUACCUUUACUCAUUGACGUUACCCGCAGAAGAAGCACCGGCUAACUCCGUG